AAAUAUGACAUUAGCCAUUACAAUAUUCGGUCCGCGUUAGAUUUUAUUGCCGAUGCUCCACUGCCACAUUAGCCACUACAGGUGGCACGGUACAAAACGUCGAUAAAAGAGCUGUAUAUGGGAUACACGAAUUGCAAAUUUGAAUGUUCCAAUACAAAAUUUAUACCGUUGGAGGGUGUACAAGCGCGGAGCAGUCUUUCUUGGUGGCGACGGAAGAAAAAAUUGAGGAAAUAAUGGCGGAAGCCAUGUGGAUAAACUGUUAUUGCUCGGCGCAAAAGAUACUUCUCGUCGGAGAGGGAGACUUCUCUUUCUUUCUCUACCUCGCCACUGUCUUUGGCUCUGCCUUCAACAUCGUCGCAACCUCACUAGACUCAUACGGUUCUCUCGCUCCCCCUCUCUCUUUCUCUACUUCUCUCUCUACUUCUCUCUCUCUACAUACUCUGAAGCUCUCUUUCUAGCCAGUUUGAGACAAAAAGGGUUAUUUUUUGUGAUUUUAUGUGCUUAUUAGCUCUUUGGCUCUGCUUUGGGUUUUCUUGAUGCAUUUUUGGUUUUUUUUUUCUUGGGUUCUCACCUUCGAUUGCUUUUGCUCUGUCUUUUAUGGAGAGGUCAAGGGGAUUUACUUAAUAAGCCCAUUAAAAUCACAAAAAAUAACCCUUUUCGUCUCAAACAGAUUGGAAAGAGAGCUACAGAGUCUGCAGAGAGAGAAGUAGAUAAAGAGAGAGGGGGAGAGAGAGAACCGUAUGAGUCUAGCGAGGUUGCGGCGAUGUUGAAGGCAGAGCCAAAGGCAGUGGCGAGGUAGAGAGAGAAAGAGAAGUCUCCCUCUCCGACGAGAGCAAAAUCCCCUUAAUCAUUUACCCUUUGUAAUUUAAUGCCUACAACUUCAUACUAUUUACCGUUUGCCUUUAGUUUUCCUUCUUUUUUAUGCUGGUUUUCCUUGGGUUUUGCUUUGCGCAGAUGUUUUUCCGAAGAAGUACCGCAAGGCUCAAUCAAAUGUGGAGGUGCUUAAGAAGGUGGGAGCAACAAUUCUACAUGAGAUCGAUGCAACCCAAAUGAAAGAUGAAGUUUUUUUGAAGAAACCACAAGUUUGAUAUAAUUGUCUUCAACUCCCUCAUGUUGGCUUCAAGGGCAAGGAAGAUAAUCCUGCUCUGAUCAGGCAUUUCCCCGGAAAAAAAAAUUGUUAAAAAAAAAAGUUUAUUAAUAAAAUUUGUCAAAUGAAUAAAAUUUUAUC